AUCCAGCUGAUGAGUCCCAAAUAGGACGAAAGGUGCGUACUGGAU
rfam:Schistosoma mansoni strain Puerto Rico chromosome 4, complete genome